AACCUAGCACACCUGCGGUGUGUACCUGCGGAAGGAUCAUUAAUGAAUAAACUUGGUCGAGCUGUUGCUGAUCCCUCGGGAUAUGUGCACGCUUGCCACCAAUUUUAACCACCUGUGCACUUUCUGUAGACUGGAAAACGAUGCUCGAGGCAACUCGGAUUGGGAACUGCUGCGCGAAAGCCGGCUGCUCCUGUGUUUUCUCAGUCUAUGUUUUUAUAUACUCCGAAUGUAUGUAUAAGA
rnacentral:misc_RNA from 1 species